UUACAGUUUAACAGUCAUUACCAAUCAUUUAUAUGACACUGAGUGAAACUUUGAUUGUUUAAUUAGUGUUGGAGCUGAACUCUUGUCUAGUCUGAGUUGGAUAAUGUACGCUCUUCAUCUGCUUCUGUGGAUUCCUGCAGGAAGAGUCAGUUUAUUUGAUUAGUCAUUGAUGUUAUUGUGCUCUACUCACCGCUCUCAUCUUAUUUCAGCUUAUGUUACAACUGUUGCUCAAUAAACAGCAUUCACUGCAGCUUCCCCAGUCGUCCUGAUCCUCACAUCACAAUCAACAGCGCUUGGAUGUGUUUUUACGGUGUGGAGUUGAUGGAAAAUGUGACGCUGAACGUUCUCCUUUGACUUCUCUGUGGAACAAGAAACACAAACCAACUGGACAAGUUCUGUCAUAAAUACGUCAGAGAUCGAAUCACAACCAGGACGAACACUCUGUAGUGAAUCCACAGAACAGCUGCUGUACUGUAGUGUGCUGUAUUUCAGCUCAAGAGCCUGCAUCUCAUUCACUGAACACCUGCAGCUCAGUUUAACCUGCUGAUAAAUAUAGAGCUGAAAAACACUGCGCUAUAUUUAAUUGAAGUCAGUGUCAAUUUUUACAUUGCAAGCACACUUAAUUUCUAGUUUAAUGCUAUUAUUAUAUUUAUGCUUGUUAGCUGAUUUUGCCUAUGCAUGUACAUUUCCUGUGCUCAUUUUAGAGUAACAACUGCAAUAUUAAAGGGAUAGUUCACUCAAAAUGAAAAUGUAAUUUAUGUCAAUGAUCAAAACAUUUUUAGGGGUAAACUAUUCCUAAAAACACCUGUCUCAGGUCUCUAAUAUCAGCUCUCCUGAUGUUAAGUGCAUGAUUAAAGUAGAGUAUAUUAGAGGUGUACUUAGUGAACUUUAUAAAAGUAUAAAAUAUUAAGCAGCACUAGAAAAUGACACGGCAGUCUGAAGAGUUUGAUAAGCAGGUAGCUGUAAUACUGUUGUGUGUUUGUAUUGACUGUAUUGUUUUUGUAUAUUAAAGAGUUUACUGUUCU